GGAAAUUCUCGAAGCGGUACUUAAUUUUAUUUUUGUAAUUUUAUUUUCAUUUGGGUUUGGAAAUUGGAAAUUUGUUAUUAUUGUUGUUUGAGUUGGAUUCAGAUGAUGUUGCAGCCCAUCCUUCGAUCGAGUUUCUGUCUUGUGAGCUCACUGAGAUGGUUGAUCUCUCAUAUUUGUUUGCAUUUCUGUUCCUUGUUCUUUUUCUUUUUGAAAUUUUCAUUUGAUUAUUCUUGUUUUAAAUGGAAGUUGGGAAAGUUAAGUUAUGUUGGAUGAGGAAAUACUACAGUUAGCAAACUGAGAAAUGGGUGCUCGAAUGGUGCGAAAAUAGAUGGCAUGAACCUCCAAACUAGGUGUCCCUCCAGCUUCAGACCAUGCUUUAGACUCUUGCUCAACCUGCCAGCAUUUUGAAACAGAUGUUUUCCCGCUCCUGCACCUGAAUUAGCUGGUGCUUUCGAGUAAUAGUGACAGUAGUUAGAAAGAAGAUUGAAAGGAAUGUAGGGAAUGGGAAGUGAGAAAUGUUCCUAUUUGGGAAGUUCACAAUGCUCUUAGCUUGAAUUACUUCGGCCAGCAUAUUGUAACAAGAGGGGCCUAACGUUGUGUUCUGAACUGUUUUUCAUGUGUGCCACGUUUGUAACAGGAUGGAUGAUGCUCUAAAGAACUAUGGCUGGUGUAUAAUCCUGGAAAUCAGAUAAUUAACUUGAUGAUAUAAGAUGUUUAGGGAACAAAAUGCAGUCAAUGGCUGUGUGCAAUGUAAGAAGUUCAUUGAAACAAUAGCUGGAAUUGUUUGAUGGAGGA